UCCGGGCGGCCCUGCGCGCUCAGCAGCCCGGCGGUGGCAGCGCACAGCACCAGGGCUGCUCCGGCUGUUGGCGCACAGCGCAUCCUUCCGGGUGGUGUGGACGCUGGGACGCGGGGAUCGGAGAGGCAGGGCUCACUUGCUCCGGGAGAAGCCAGCCACCAUACUGUGAGGACACUCAAGCAGCCCUUUGGAGAGAUCUGCAAGGUGAGGAACUGAGGCCUCCACCCAACAACCAGCAUCAGCUUGUCUGCCACGCAAGGGAGCUAUCUUGGAAGCAGAUCCUCCAGCCCCAGUCAAGCUUUCAGAUGAUGUAGCCUCACUUGGCAUCUGUUAGCAACCUCAUGAGACUCCAAGCCAGAACCACCCAGCUAAGCUGCUCCCAAACUCCUGACCCACAGAAAAAUCCUUUAAGCCUCUGAUCAUUGCCUUUGGGCUGGUGUUUUUCUGUUGCCAGUGCCAGCCUCAGACCAGGGCAAGAGGGACCUCUAUUAUGGCACUGCACUUUGGAGGGUGAAUGCCUCCACCAGGCAAGGAGUUGUGGGAGCAAUGGGUAUACUUACUGGAGCCCAUAGACUUCCUUUUAGACCAUUGAGUUUCCAUUUGGGCUGGUGGAAAAGUUCUGGAACUAGGUAGAAGUUGUACAACAUUGUAUGUGUACUUAAUGCCACUGAAUUGUAUACAUUAAAAUGGUUAAACUUUUUC